GGGUAUCCCGUCCGCUCUGCCUUACUCAAGCCUCGUAUCGAUCAAGUAGUAGUAUCGUGGGUGACCAGAUGCGAAUUCUGAUUGUUGUAGUUC
rnacentral:rRNA from 1 species